AUUGAACGCUGGCGGCAGGCCUAACACAUGCAAGUCGAGCGAGCGGCGGACGGGUGAGUAAUGUCUGGGAAACUGCCUGAUGGAGGGGGAUAACUACUGGAAACGGUAGCUAAUACCGCAUACCAUCAGAUGUGCCCAGAUGGGAUUAGCUGUUAGGUGGGGUAAUGGCUCACCUAGGCGACGUUCCCUAGCUGGUCUGAGAGGAUGACCAGCCCCACUGGAACGAGGAAACGGUCCAGAAUCCUACGGGAGGCAUAAGUGGGGAAUAUUGCACAAUGGGCGCAAGCCUGAUGCAGCCAUGCCGCGUGUGGGAAGAAGGCCUUCGGGUUGUAAAGCACUUUCAGCGGGGAGACGUUACCCGCAGAAGAAGCAACGGCUAACUACGUGCCAGCAGCCGCGGUAAUUC
rnacentral:rRNA from 1 species